GCCUGGGUGGCUCAGUCGGUUAAGCAUCUGACUUCAGCUCAGGUCAUGAUCUCACGGUCCGUGAGUUCGAGCCCCGCGUCAGGCU
rnacentral:tRNA from 1 species